GGGAAAAAAAACCACACACAAAAGCCUCUGAUCCAGCUGGCAAACUAAAGAGCCCAUCACAACAGAGCUGGAGUUACAGUGAAACGACUGCAACAAGUGGUAGGCGAGGCAAUGAGAGUUCCAGAAAAGGAGGAGACAAAAGGUUUGACCUGGACAAAGGAAGGGAAGUGAGGGGCGGGAUGAAUGAGCAGAUCAGUACAGGGCAGUGGAGGGAAGGAAGGCCAGGGGAAGGCUCCAGACUGGACAGCAAGGCAAUGCAAGGUGUGGGGAAACAAGGCAGGGCAAGGGAAGGGACAGGAAUGGCAAGGAAAUGCAAAGGAGGUGUAGGCCUGGCAAGGCAUGGCCCUGGAGAAGAGGAGGAGGCAGGUCAAGAGUGGGGCACGCAGGAGAAUGCAAAGCAAAGGAGGUUUAGCAGGGCAAGGCCAGGAAACUCUUGGGUUGCCAAGGCAAGUGACAGGUACAUUGAAGGAUUGCUGGUACACAAAAGCGGCCAGGACAGACUGCUCUGUGUGGCCUUGAUCUUGCAUGGGCCUUCUCUAAUCUGCACCUAAAACACUUGGGUUACCUGCUUUCCUUGGGAUGCAAAAGAGCUGUCAUUCUGGUCCUGAAGCCCAAGGGUGAAACGAGAAUUUUGUGUCCAAAAUUCAAGACAGAUGCCAGAAGAAAGCUGCCAGGACAGGUGGGUGUGCUUGCACCUCUGGUCUUCCUGUGACAUGCUCCUGAAACACUGGAGGUACCUGUAAGCCUUGAGAGUCCUGGGAGGAGAAGGCAGGGCAAGACAAGUUAAAAAAUUCCACAGAAAGAGGGGUAUUGAAUUCCAGGUGGGGGACGGGUGAGAAAGGUAAUGCAAGGCAAGAAAAGUGGUGGCUUUGCCAGGCAAGACCAAGGAGAGGCAGGCAAGGCAAUGGGAGACCCAGAAAGAGAAGGAAAUGAAAGAUUGGAGCUGGGCAAAAGGGAAAGGAAACUGGACAAACUGGAAAGGGGGGUGGGUGAGCAAGUCACUGCAAGGCACUGGAUGGGUAGGAAGGGCAAGGGAAGGACACGGAUGGGUCAGGAAGGCAGAGGAAGGGAAUGGUCAGGAAUGACAAGGAAAUACAAGGUUGGGUAGGAAAGGCAUGGCAAUGUAGGGGUAGGCAACACAAUGGGUGUCUUAAGAAGAAAAGACCAUGCAUGGCAAGGCCAAGAGAAAUGUGGUAGAGAAGUCAGUGUGGGGGAUAGGUGAGUGCUGCUGAGAAAGAAAGUGUCUAACUCCAGUGCAGGUGUGUGUGUGUGUGAAGUGUGCAGGAUGUAAAGCAAAGAAAGCUGUCACUUGACUGCAGAGUGAAGGGAUGUUUUCAAAUGUAAGCAGCAAGGUCCAAGCAACCUUUUUGUCCUGGCACAUUUGUGUCUGUGAGAUGUCGCCAGAAACUUCUCAGUUUAGAUUCAGACUGCAAGCAGGACACGUAACACCCCCAGAAUCUAAGCUGAGCAGGAAGGCAUGUAGCAUCAGCAUGUUUGGACAGAAAGAGUUUGUCUGUGGGAGCAGGAGAUGGAUGUGUUGGCCUCUGGCAGUGUGACACUACGCUCAGCUGAGGAGCAUGGUGCAGUGCUUCAGUGCACGCUCUGAAAAUGAAAGGCUGCAAGGAAAAGGCAAAGGAGCAGGCAGUCUGUCAUGAAGGAAUCAACUGAAAAGUGACAUAUUACCUGUGACUAGAGAUGCUCUACAUCCUUCGAAGAGACAGCACAUCUCCCCAUUUUUUUCAUUUGGUGGCUACCACCAGUUAUUUAAGAGUGAGGUUUGGCUGUUCAAGAGACAAGUGGCAGGAUCUGGCAGACAGCAAGAUGAUGUAAAGCUUGGAGUGCUUCUUUCUGGCCACUGGAAUGAGUUAGAGAAUGGAGCUUGAAUCAAAAUCCACUAAUCAAGAUCCACUGUUCUACAGCUGCUUUUGCAGCACAGCUGGCAAC